CCUACGGGUGGCAGCAGUGAGGAAUAUUGGUCAAUGGCCGCAGGGCUGAACCAGCCAAGUCGCGUGAGGGAUGACGGUCCUAUGGAUUGUAAACCUCUUUUGUCAGGGAGCAAAGGGCGCCACGUGUGGCGUUUUGCGAGUACCUGAAGAAAAAGCAUCGGCUAACUCCGUGCCAGCAGCCGCGGUAAUACGGAGGAUGCGAGCGUUAUCCGGAUUUAUUGGGUGUAAAGGGUUCGUAGGUGGCCUAGUAAGUCUGGUGUUAAAUGCAGAAGCUCAACUCCUGUUCGGCAGUGGAUACUGGCAGGCUUGAGUGCGAGAGAGGUAAGCGGAAUGCGCGGUGUAGCGGUGAAAUGCGUAGAUAUCGCGAAGAACAUCGAUGGCGAAGGC
rnacentral:rRNA from 1 species